UACGUAGGGCGCAAGCGUUGUCCGGAAUUACUGGGCGUAAAGCGCGCGUAGGCGGCUUUGUAAGUUAGAGGUGAAAGCCCGGAGCUCAACUCCGGAACUGCCUUUAAAACUGCAUCGCUUGAAUCAUGGAGAGGUGAGUGGAAUUCCGAGUGUAGAGGUGAAAUUCGUAGAUAUUCGGAGGAACACCAGCGGCGAAGGCGGCGACCUGGACAGUUACUGACACUCAACUGCGAAAGCGUGGGGAGCAAACAGG
rnacentral:rRNA from 1 species